GGGUUGUGAGGUUAAGCGACUAAGCGUACACGGUGGAUGCCCUGGCAGUCAGAGGCGAUGAAGGACGUGCUAAUCUGCGAUAAGCGUCGGUGAGGUGAUAUGAACCGUUAUAACCGGCGAUUUCCGAAUGGGGAAACCCAGUGUGUUUCGACACACUAUCAUUAACUGAAUCCAUAGGUUAAUGAGGCGAACCGGGGGAACUGAAACAUCUAAGUACCCCGAGGAAAAGAAAUCAACCGAGAUUCCCCCAGUAGCGGCGAGCGAACGGGGAGGAGCCCAGAGCCUGAAUCAGUGUGUGUGUUAGUGGAAGCGUCUGGAAAGGCGUGCGAUACAGGGUGACAGCCCCGUACACAAAAAUGCACAUAUUGUGAGCUCGAUGAGUAGGGCGGGACACGUGGUAUCCUGUCUGAAUAUGGGGGGACCAUCCUCCAAGGCUAAAUACUCCUGACUGACCGAUAGUGAACCAGUACCGUGAGGGAAAGGCGAAAAGAACCCCGGCGAGGGGAGUGAAAAAGAACCUGAAACCGUGUACGUACAAGCAGUGGGAGCCUCUUAAUGGGGUGACUGCGUACCUUUUGUAUAAUGGGUCAGCGACUUAUAUUCUGUAGCAAGGUUAACCGAAUAGGGGAGCCGAAGGGAAACCGAGUCUUAACUGGGCGUUAAGUUGCAGGGUAUAGACCCGAAACCCGGUGAUCUAGCCAUGGGCAGGUUGAAGGUUGGGUAACACUAACUGGAGGACCGAACCGACUAAUGUUGAAAAAUUAGCGGAUGACUUGUGGCUGGGGGUGAAAGGCCAAUCAAACCGGGAGAUAGCUGGUUCUCCCCGAAAGCUAUUUAGGUAGCGCCUCGUGAAUUCAUCUCCGGGGGUAGAGCACUGUUUCGGCAAGGGGGUCAUCCCGACUUACCAACCCGAUGCAAACUGCGAAUACCGGAGAAUGUUAUCACGGGAGACACACGGCGGGUGCUAACGUCCGUCGUGAAGAGGGAAACAACCCAGACCGCCAGCUAAGGUCCCAAAGUCAUGGUUAAGUGGGAAACGAUGUGGGAAGGCCCAGACAGCCAGGAUGUUGGCUUAGAAGCAGCCAUCAUUUAAAGAAAGCGUAAUAGCUCACUGGUCGAGUCGGCCUGCGCGGAAGAUGUAACGGGGCUAAACCAUGCACCGAAGCUGCGGCAGCGACACUAUGUGUUGUUGGGUAGGGGAGCGUUCUGUAAGCCUGUGAAGGUGGCCUGUGAGGGUUGCUGGAGGUAUCAGAAGUGCGAAUGCUGACAUAAGUAACGAUAAAGCGGGUGAAAAGCCCGCUCGCCGGAAGACCAAGGGUUCCUGUCCAACGUUAAUCGGGGCAGGGUGAGUCGACCCCUAAGGCGAGGCCGAAAGGCGUAGUCGAUGGGAAACAGGUUAAUAUUCCUGUACUUGGUGUUACUGCGAAGGGGGGACGGAGAAGGCUAUGUUGGCCGGGCGACGGUUGUCCCGGUUUAAGCGUGUAGGCUGGUUUUCCAGGCAAAUCCGGAAAACCAAGGCUGAGGCGUGAUGACGAGGCACUACGGUGCUGAAGUGACAAAUGCCCUGCUUCCAGGAAAAGCCUCUAAGCAUCAGGUAACAUCAAAUCGUACCCCAAACCGACACAGGUGGUCAGGUAGAGAAUACCAAGGCGCUUGAGAGAACUCGGGUGAAGGAACUAGGCAAAAUGGUGCCGUAACUUCGGGAGAAGGCACGCUGAUAUGUAGGUGAAGCGACUUGCUCGUGGAGCUGAAAUCAGUCGAAGAUACCAGCUGGCUGCAACUGUUUAUUAAAAACACAGCACUGUGCAAACACGAAAGUGGACGUAUACGGUGUGACGCCUGCCCGGUGCCGGAAGGUUAAUUGAUGGGGUUAGCGGUAACGCGAAGCUCUUGAUCGAAGCCCCGGUAAACGGCGGCCGUAACUAUAACGGUCCUAAGGUAGCGAAAUUCCUUGUCGGGUAAGUUCCGACCUGCACGAAUGGCGUAAUGAUGGCCAGGCUGUCUCCACCCGAGACUCAGUGAAAUUGAACUCGCUGUGAAGAUGCAGUGUACCCGCGGCAAGACGGAAAGACCCCGUGAACCUUUACUAUAGCUUGACACUGAACAUUGAGCCUUGAUGUGUAGGAUAGGUGGGAGGCUUUGAAGUGUGGACGCCAGUCUGCAUGGAGCCGACCUUGAAAUACCACCCUUUAAUGUUUGAUGUUCUAACGUUGGCCCGUAAUCCGGGUUGCGGACAGUGUCUGGUGGGUAGUUUGACUGGGGCGGUCUCCUCCUAAAGAGUAACGGAGGAGCACGAAGGUUGGCUAAUCCUGGUCGGACAUCAGGAGGUUAGUGCAAUGGCAUAAGCCAGCUUGACUGCGAGCGUGACGGCGCGAGCAGGUGCGAAAGCAGGUCAUAGUGAUCCGGUGGUUCUGAAUGGAAGGGCCAUCGCUCAACGGAUAAAAGGUACUCCGGGGAUAACAGGCUGAUACCGCCCAAGAGUUCAUAUCGACGGCGGUGUUUGGCACCUCGAUGUCGGCUCAUCACAUCCUGGGGCUGAAGUAGGUCCCAAGGGUAUGGCUGUUCGCCAUUUAAAGUGGUACGCGAGCUGGGUUUAGAACGUCGUGAGACAGUUCGGUCCCUAUCUGCCGUGGGCGCUGGAGAACUGAGGGGGGCUGCUCCUAGUACGAGAGGACCGGAGUGGACGCAUCACUGGUGUUCGGGUUGUCAUGCCAAUGGCACUGCCCGGUAGCUAAAUGCGGAAGAGAUAAGUGCUGAAAGCAUCUAAGCACGAAACUUGCCCCGAGAUGAGUUCUCCCU
rnacentral:rRNA from 1 species